AUUGAACGCUGGCGGCAGGCCUAACACAUGCAAGUCGAACGCGUGGCGGACGUGUGCAUAAUGUCUGGGAAACUGCCUGAUGGCGGGGGAUAACUACUAUACACGUUAGAUAAUACCGCAUAACCUCGUAUGUGCUGAGAUGGGAUGAGCUAGUAGGUGGGGUAAAGGCUCACCUAGGCGACGAUCCCUAGCUGGUCUGAGAGGAUGACCAGCCACACUGGAACUGAGACACGGUCCAGACUCCUACGGGAGGCAGCAGUGGGGAAUAUUGCACAAUGGGCGCAAGCCUGAUGCAGCCAUGCCGCGUGUGUGAAGAAGGCCUUCGGGUUGUAAAGCACUUUCAGCGAGGAGGCGUUACUCGCAGAAGAAGCACCGGCUAACUCCGUGCCAGCAGCCGCGGUAAUUC
rnacentral:rRNA from 1 species